rnacentral:lncRNA from 1 species
AGCAAUUUAGGGGAGAGGAGAAUUGCAAACAUUUCCCCCAUAUCUUGAAAUAUGCUCCCCAGAACUGUCUCACUGUAGUCAUGAUUUUCUGCAUCCCCUGAACUCCUGCCAUGUAUUCUUGGGGCGGAAGCACAAUUGGAGAAGCUCUGCCUUAAACUGUCUUUAUCUCCAGUCUUGACCUGCAUCCCAAGUGCAGGAAAAACUUUGUCUGCUCAGGAUUUUAGUUAGCAAUCCUGACAAAUACCUGAAACUCAACAUGUGUAAAGCCAACAUAUAACCCUACCUUCCAAACUGCCUUUCCUCUCUCUGGAAGUGGUGUCAUGAUGCUUUCAGUGACACAAGAUUAAAAUUUCAGUGUCAUUUUCAUUUCUUCCUUUAAUUUGCCUAUACAAUAAUUGAUUAUUAUUUAUUACAUUCUACUUCUCUUCCUUAGUCCCUCAUAGUCUUGCAUCUUCUGUAAACACACAAGGAUCUAUAACCUUUUUGGAAGUAAUGGACUGCCUUGAUAAUUAGAAGCCCAUGUACACCUCCCCAGAAGAUCUAUAUUUUGCAGACUUUUUUUUUUUUUUUUUUUUUUGAGAAGGAUUAGCCCUGAACUAACACCUGUGCCCAUCUUCUCUAUUUUAUAUGUGGGACGCCUGCCACAGAACGGCUUGAUAAGCAAUGUGUAGGUUUGUGCCUGGGACCUGAACCGGCGAACUUUGGACUGGCAAAGCGGGGCACGUGAGCCCAACUGCUACACCACCGGGGGACCUCUGCAGACAUUUCUUAAAGGGAUUCAAACUCCCCACCCCAAUAAAACAGAGGAAAUACACCAUGGAAUCCUCAACCACUUCAGGAAAUUGAACAACACCAGCACCUCGGAAACCAUCCUUGUCACCCCACCCGGACUCCAUUCUUCUGCAAAAGUGCCAUCACUACCCUGACUUGCCCAUUUUUUUAAUUUCUCAAAAUCAGGCUCUUGUGUUUACCUGAAACUCUCCACUUAUUUAUAUUCUUAAGCCUAUUGAUCACAGUGAUUUUAGGAUCUCUGAUUGAUAACUGCAAUAUCUAGAUCUUCUUUGGGUCUCUUUCCAUUAUUUGCUUGUUCUCUUUUCUUUUGGUCAUUCGAUCCUAGGACCUGAUAUAGUUGAUAAUUUUUUGUUAUGAGUGUCAAAUGUUAUGUAUGAAACAUGGUGAUGUUUGAAGCUUUGGAAAGUGCUGUUUUUCUCCAGAUUCGAUUUUCUCUUUCUUCUGGAAUUGGAAUUUAAUUUGAAAUUGAGUUUUGAUUUUCCUGAGGGCUAGUUUAAUCCUGAUUUACUGAAAUACAUC